GACGAACGCUGGCGGCGUGCUUAACACAUGCAAGUCGAACGGUGAAGCGCCUUCCUUUUUGGUGGGUGUGGAUGAGUGGCGAACGGGUGAGUAACACGUGAGUAACCUGCCCCCUUCUUCUGGAUAACCGCAUGAAAGUGUGGCUAAUACGGGAUAUUCUGGGUCUGUCGCAUGAUGGGUCUGGGAAAGAUAUUGUUUCGGUGGGGGAUGGGCUCGCGGCCUAUCAGCUUGUUGGUGGGGUGAUGGCCUACCAAGGCGGUGACGGGUAGCCGGCCUGAGAGGGUGGACGGUAACAGUGGGACUGAGACACGGCCAAGACUCCGACGGGAGGCAGCAGUGGGGAAUAUUGCACAAUGGGCGCAAGGCUGAUGCAGCGACGCCGCGUGAGGGAUGGAGGCCUUCGGGUUGUGAACCUCUUUCGCCAGUGAAGCAGGCCUGCCUCGUUUGUGGGUGGGUUGACGGUAGCUGGAUAAGAAGCGCCGGCUAACUACGUG
rnacentral:rRNA from 1 species